rnacentral:lncRNA from 1 species
GUGCUCCUCCUGCAGCGGACGGAAGAUGCUGGGCCACGCAAGUUUCCCUGGGCUUGGUUAACCACCCCAAAGCCCAUUUCCAGAAGGAAAGGGUGUUGAGGAGGAGGGAUAGAAAGUCGAGAAGAGGGCCGGGUGAGUGGCUCACGCCUGUCAUCCCAGCACUUUGGGAGGCCGAGACAGGCGGAUCACCUGAGGUCAGGACUUAGAGACCAGCCUGGCCUACAUGGUGAAACCCCGUCUCUACUAAAAAUACAAAAAUUAGCCGGGUGUGGUGCCGUGCGCCUGUAGUCCCAGCAACUCGGGAGGCUGAGGUAGGAGAAUCGCUUGAACCCGGGAGUCGGAGGUUGCAGUGCUGAGAUGGCACCUGGCCUGGGCGGCAAGAGCGAAACUCCAUCUCAAAAAAAAAAAGAAGAGGAAAUGAGGCAUAGGGGCAGGCGAGCCGGGAAAAUAUUGCUACUAAGGAUCCUAAGCAGUGAACAUGCUGUUAAUACUUAGAUGAGAUCUUGCUCUGUCACCCAGACUGGAGUGCAGUGGCACGAUCAUAGCUCACUGCACCCUCAAACUCCUGGACUCAAAUCAUCCUCUACCUCUGCCUCCAUGAGUAACUGGAACUACAGACAAACUCCAACAUUGUCUAUUGGGAAUAAAUAACACUCAGUGAAGAAAACUGGAAGAAGAGGAGAGAGGAAAGGCAAGGCCAUCCAUAUAAUGAAGAGAAUGUUGUCUAGAAAUGAAAAUGACUAAGAGAAGGAAUCAU